UGUAACAAUGCUAACAACUAAUUUCAGCUGGCAAAACCCAAACCAAAACAAAACAUAAGUCGCUUGAACGGUAGCUAUUGUUGUUUUAGGUGGAAAUUUGACAAGAUGGAAGUCAUCAAUGGUGUUAUUUUCUUGAUUACGAUUGGAACAUCCUUCUUAGUACUGUUUGUGAAUAAGGGUGUUUUUAGUUGUGAUGAUCCAGGCACUCCUGCCAAUGGAGUUCGGGAUCCGCCAGAGAGCGGGGAACUCGUCCCCUUUCCUCCAAAAACUGUGAUGCGUUUCAGCUGCAAUGAUGGCUACCUCUUGGAUGGACCUCCAAAGAUCAUCUGCACCAAGGAGAACAAAUGGCUUCCAGCCGAUAGACCAUCAUGUAUAGGUAAGUAAAGGCUACUAACAC